GGCUUCGGUCUCCGGAGAGCGGCGAACGGGUGAGUAACACGUGGGUAAUCUGCCUGGGAGCGUGGGAUAACCUGGGGAAACUCGGGCUAAUACCGCGUACGUUGGUGGGACUAUGGUUCUGUCAAGAAAGCUGGCCUCUGUUUACAAGCUAGCGCUCCCAGAGGAGCCCGCGGCUGAUUAGCUAGUUGGUGAGGUAAUGGCUCACCAAGGCUUCGAUCAGUAGCCGGCCUGAGAGGGUGAUCGGCCACACUGGGACUGAGACACGGCCCAGACUCCUACGGGAGGCAGCAGUGGGGAAUAUUGGACAAUGGGCGCAAGCCUGAUCCAGCAACGCCGCGUGGAGGAUGAAGGUCUUCGGAUCGUAAACUCCUGUCAGAUGGGACGAAGUCUUGGAGGCAAAUAGUUUCCGAGAUUGACGGUACCAUCAGAGGAAGCCCCGGCUAACUCCGUGCCAGCAGCCGCGGUAAUACGGAGGGGGCGAGCGUUAUUCGGAAUUAUUGGGCGUAAAGGGCGCGUAGGCGGCCCGGUAAGUCAAAGGUGAAAUCCCUCGGCUCAACUGAGGAACUGCCUUUGAAACUGUCGGGCUUGAGGCCGGGAGAGGGUAGUGGAAUUCCCAGUGUAGCGGUGAAAUGCGUAGAUAUUGGGAGGAACACCAGUGGCGAAGGCGGCUACCUGGACCGGUUCUGACGCUGAGGCGCGAAAGCGUGGGUAGCAAACAGGAUUAGAUACCCUGGUAGUCCACGCUGUAAACGAUGGGUGCUCGGUGUCGCGGGUAUCGACCCCUGCGGUGCCUUAGCUAACGCG
rnacentral:rRNA from 1 species